GAUGAAGAACGCAGCGAAAUGCGAUAAGUAAUGUGAAUUGCAGAAUUCAGUGAAUCAUCGAAUCUUUGAACGCACCUUGCACCCUUUGGCAUUCCGAAGGGCAUGCCUGUUUGAGUAUCGUGAACACCUCAACUCUCAUGGUUUGCCAUGAUGAGCUUGGACUUUGGGGGUUUUGCUGGCCUUUGGUCGGCUCCUCUCAAACGGAUCAGCUUUCCAGUGUUUGGUGGCGUCACGGGUGUGAUAACUAUCUACGCCUGUGGUUUUCUGCCAGAUAACCUUCAGCGAUGGAGGUUCGCUGGGGCUCAUAAAUGUCUCUCUUCAGUGGAGACAGCUUUUUGGACGUUUGAUCUCAAAUCAGGUAGGACUACCCGCUGAACUUAAGCAUAUCAAUAAGCGGAGGA
rnacentral:misc_RNA from 1 species